GUUGAAACAUUGGUUCCCGUAGGAACAACGCAGUUAAACAACUUCGAACCUGGUCAGUACCCAGAUGGGUGACCGCUUGGUAAUACGAGGUGCUGUAA